AUUAUAACCAGAGGUCGGGUACCUCAAAAAUUAAU
rfam:Cryomorphaceae bacterium BACL21 MAG-121220-bin10 contig00008.0_to_5_1_121220-bin10, whole genome shotgun sequence.